UAUUUAAUUUGGUCGGUUUCUCUUUCAACCCCUUUUUCUAUAAGAGUGAAGAUUGAAAAUGAGAAAAUGAGUCGCGGAUUGACACUUUCUACCUCCUUUUCUCUUCUCUAUUUCUUUCUUUUGAUUUUACCUCCCUGUUUUUGUUUUCCCUAAUUGAGAUUGGGAUUUUUAAAUUUUCUGUUUCCGUUUGAUCAUUGAUGCAAUUCCUACUUUCGCUCUCCGCCGUCGAUGCUCCUCCAGUCUCCACUGCCUGCCGCUCCACGUCGAGAUGUAGAGGUUGGCGAUGACUCCGGUGCUGUCUGCGCUAUUUUCUUUCGCCCUCUGCCAUCUUCGGCUCAUCCAGUCUCCACUGCCGCCCUUGAUAGAAAAAUGGAAAGGAACGUUAUGGAUGAUUUUUUCACAAAUGCUUAGUGUAUUGCUUUGCUUUGCAGGGUGUGAUUGUGGAUUGUGGAUUGCAAUUUUCGUUCCAGUUUUGUCAUUUCUCUCUCGGAAUUUAAUCAGCAUUUUUGUGAACCGCAAGGGUGAAUAAUUUGACCUAAACCCACAUGAGAGAGCGACACGGUGGCGCGCGAGAGACCCAACCCCAAAUAGAUUCCAAGGGUGCUAGAGCCUUAUAAAAACAGAUUCAAAUGUGCGUACCAUCCUCCAGUUCCAGGUGCAGUGGACUAAAUUGAUCUGGGAAAAAAGUUUUUCUACCCUCUUAUUUAGUGGAGGCCAUAUGCAUACAUCUAAAAGCCAGCUUGGACAAACUUUUCAAGUUUGUGAUUGAAGAAACUGAUUUAAAUAGAUAUAUGUGUUGUCAUGCUCCCACUACAUGCAACUACAAGGCUGGAAAAAAUUGAUGAGUACUUGCUUCACUUGUGUUUGUGCAGCUAUACUCGCUACUUCGACCAGCUGUUGAUAUAGUAGAAAUAUUUCUUUGGCUCAUAUUGACCCUUUUUCAGUUAAUCUUUUUAUUUUAUUCUGAGGUUACCAUUUACAGCAAUUUUCUCUUUUAGAUCUCAUUUUGUUUCCGUUUUCCACAAUCUGGAAGAGGGUUUAGUAAAUAGUAUUUGUGAAGAGGAAAGGGGACAAUAUUUAGAAGUGAUCAUUUAUGUAUUUAUGGCAUAAUCUAGACCCAUUUGAUUGCAUACUAGACCCAUUUGAAGACAAGUUACAAGUAAUGUUGAUCUCAUGUUAGACA